UUCUGAUAAUACUAGACGCGACUCCACUCUCCAGUUCCCUAAUCAUAUGGUCUAUGGGCGCAAAAAAUAAUGAGACUUUCCAAUACUGUUUUGGCGUGUUUGUACCUGGUCAUUGGCUCUAGUAGUCUGUCGACCACAUCGCGUCGGCAUAUUUACAACGAUAUCGAAGGGUUCUGAUAAUUCUAAUACCGAUUGGUACAU
rnacentral:lncRNA from 1 species